CCUACGGGUGGCAGCAGUGAGGAAUAUUGGUCAAUGGACGAGAGUCUGAACCAGCCAAGUAGCGUGAAGGAUGACUGCCCUAUGGGUUGUAAACCUCUUUUAUAUGGGAAUAAAACCUUCCACGUGUGGGCUUUUGUAUGUUCCAUGUGAAUAAGGCUUGGCUAACCUCGUGCCAGCAGCCCGGGUAAUUCGGAGGAUUCGAGCGUUUUUCGGAUUUUUUGGGUUUAAAGGGAUGGUAGGUGGGUUUUUAAGUCAGUUGGGAAAGUUUGCGGCCCAAACGUGAAAUUGCAGUUGAAACUGGCAGUCUUGAGUACGGUAGAGGUGGGCGGAAUGCGUGGUGUAGCGGUGAAAUGCUUAGAUAUCACGAAGAACUCCGAUUGCGAAGGCAGCACACUGGACUGCAACUGACGCUGAGGCUCGAAAGUGUGGGUAUCGAACAGGAUUAGAUACCCGUGUAGUC
rnacentral:rRNA from 1 species